UAGGCAGCAGUGGGGAAUAUUGGACAAUGGACCAAAAGUCUGAUCCAGCAAUUCUGUGUGCACGAUGAAGGUCUUCGGAUUGUAAAGUGCUUUCAGGUGGGAAGAAGAAAGUGACGGUACCACCAGAAGAAGCGACGGCUAAAUACGUGCCAGCAGCCGCGGUAAUA
rnacentral:rRNA from 1 species